rnacentral:lncRNA from 1 species
AUUAUUUUACUUGUGUCACUUAGAAAAAGACUAGUCUUUAAUUUUAUUUUAAAAACUGUAAUCAUGGGAGGCUUAAAAUGGGUUAUAACACACAUCAGGUUGGUUAUUCCUUGGGCUACAUACUUUGGAUAGAAUAGCAUUAUACAAACAAAUUUCUUUUAGAAUCCUGGUACACUUAUAAUAACUAUAAAAUAAUAGGACUGUAGCAAUCUUUUGUCUUACUUCAGUGACUUGAUGUAUAUACUGGAAACAGUUCUUUGUCUGAGGAAGGUCAGUUGAAGUCCUUACUGUACAAGUCUAAAUUUUAAGGAAAAUGAGUCCUGCGAUGAGUUUCUUCAUGCUUCAGUCGUGCGUGGACCAGUCAGCUGCCGGGUGUGACUGCAGCAGGGCUUGUCGUCUUCUUCAGAGUCACUUUGCAGGGGUUGGCAAAGCUCCUCUUAUCUACGUACAGCUCCUAGUCUACUGAUGUUUAAGGGUGGUCUCAGAGGUUGGGCCCACUAGAAUAAACUGAGUCCAGCACCUCUGAACAGUUAUGUUUAACUGGGCUCUUUGAUACUAGGAGUAAGGUGGCGGGGUUAGGGUGUUGCAAACUUCAAUGGUUAUGUGGGGAUUUUCACAGAGCAAGCUUUGGUAUCUAGUUAGUCUAGCGUUUAUUAGCUAAUGAUGUCUUUUCUUAUUUAUUAAAGGGACUUUAUGUUUAUGUUUUGCCUAAGAGUUAGCUUAUCUGCUUCUUGUGCUAACAGGGCCAUUGCUGCCAGGGCCCUUGGACAUGGGGGCCAGCCUUGGGAAACCUUGUCUAGUUGUUUUGAGAGAUAGGCUACUGGCCUUGGCCAGGGCGUUACAGUCUGGGUUAAAACUUCAACUGCCAUUUUUUUUUCUUUCUGACACAUAGAGUGCAAAGAGUUUUGUCAGGUCAGGUAGCCUCAGGGCUGGGGCUGACAUGAGUUUUUCUUUUUUUUUUUUCUGGUUGAUGAAAUACCAGGGUGAAAUGGACUAAACCAUAAGUGCCAUUCUAGUUAUUCGGCAGAGUGCCUACUGAAGGUCUACUACAAUACCACCACACAUCUGCUCAGGGAUGAACAAGGGCUGACUGAUUGAUAAGCUCUUGAAAAUUCUUAAGCUCACUGCAUCCUUGCAGGUCUCCAAGGAAUGCUAAAUCUCCUCUCUGCCGUGAGAUACAAGAAGUGAACUUAGUGUUGGGAGACGGAAGCUGGAAGGCCCUCGGGGGCUGAUCCACAGGGACUUCGGGAUAUAGCAGAGAGAGCUAUAUGUUACUCCAGGCUGUAGAAUCCUGGAAAAGAGCUACCAUGCAGCCCACACCUGGUCAACUACAGGACCACCUUAGUGGAAGGGGGACAAUCAGGGCCUCUGGCCUGCCAGGUGCACAAGCAUAACAAUUGCUUUUGUUUAAUGUGCAGAUGGAAUAUUUGAUCUAUUUCAAGCAGGCAUUUGCAUCUUGGUGUGCUGUCUCAAUUGCCAAAGUUUGUUUUAAGUCUUUAACUUCUAUCAUCCUCUAGUAAAAUGAAUGCUUCCUUUAGCACCGAUUUUUAUUAGUUUUUAGACCAAAGAAAGCUGAACACCAUUUUAUAUUUAAUAAUGCUUCUUGUAUGAUUUUUAUACCAGAUAAGCUAAAUUUUACUUUUAUAUUAGUGUGUUACUAAUGUUAAAUUUAAUUUGAAUAAAACUUUGUAGACAUAUUUAUCUAAUUUUUCAUGUUUGACCAUAAGGUUAGAUUUUAUAGACUCUUUUUAACUUUUUGUAAUUUUUGUUAAAGAGCAGGUUGAUGCUUUAAGAAAAAACCUGUUGCAUUUUUACUUUGAUGUCCAUUUCACAGAAAAACCGGAUGAUACCUUUUUAACUUUAGCUAAUAUGUUUACACACAGAAUUUUCUUUACAAUUAGUUUUAAAACUUGCUUAAAUUUUCAAACAAUAAUUUUUUUAACUUUUUAAUAUAGGUAUCUUCAGUAAUACACAGGAGGCCUUAUUACUUUUAAAUUAUACAUUUUUUGCAUAAAAAAAUUUUUUAAACAAACUUUCUUUAUGUCUUUGGACUAGACUGUCUAAGGCUACCAGACUAGAAGUUACUAUAAUACAUGCUACGCUGUUAACUUUUAGCAAACUUCACUUUUGUUGAAAACCUUGUAAGUUUGGGACUUCAAUUAUCCUUUGCUAUUAAUAAGACCUUGUUUAGUCUAAAUUAACUUAGGAUUGGUAUAGAUGGCCUCUUUUUCUCUCUGCUGGUCUUCUCUUGCCUCUGCCAGCCAUUUAUGCUGCUGUUCUUUUAACUACUGUGGGGGGCGGGGGGAGAGGAUCUAAAACCAGGUGUAACUGUCUGUGUACGGAAACUGGUCUGGGUGCCUUGGCUUACAGGUUACCUUGUGCCAUAUCUUUGAAACUAGGGACCCGUCCAGGCUUCCUUCUGAUGGCUAACCUACCUCAAAUGCUGGCCAGUCUAUU